rnacentral:rRNA from 1 species
UGGGGAAUUUUGGACAAUGGGCGAAAGCCUGAUCCAGCAAUGCCGCGUGUGUGAAGAAGGCCUUCGGGCUGUAAAGCACUUUUGUCCGGAAAGAAAUCCUUGGCUCUAAUACAGUCGGGGGAUGACGGUACCGGAAGAAUAAGCACCGGCUAACUACGUGCCAGCAGCCGCGGUAAUACGUAGGGUGCAAGCGUUAAUCGGAAUUACUGGGCGUAAAGCGUGCGCAGGCGGUUUGCUAAGACCGAUGUGAAAUCCCCGGGCUCAACCUGGGAACUGCAUUGGUGACUGGCAGGCUAGAGUAUGGCAGAGGGGGGUAGAAUUCCACGUGUAGCAGUGAAAUGCGUAGAGAUGUGGAGGAAUACCGAUGGCGAAGGCAGCCCCCUGGGCCAAUACUGACGCUCAUGCACGAAAGCGUGGGGAGCAAACAGGAUUAGAUACCCUGGUAGUCCACGCCCUAAACGAUGUCAACUAGUUGUUGGGGAUUCAUUCCUUAGUAACGUAGCUAACGCGUGAAGUUGACCGCCUGGGGAGUACGGUCGCAAGAUUAAAACUCAAAUGAAUUGACGGGGUCAUAGCUGUUUCCU